CAACUUACUUGGCAGGGGCGAUACCAUGAUCACAAAGGUGGUUUUCCCAGGGUGAGGCACAUCCAUUGCACUGCAGGUGUACUGACCCCUGCGAUUUUCCCCAAAUGCAAGAAACUCGACUGCAUAAUUUGUGGUAGUGAGGGAUUGUAUUUGUGCUUUCCCCUG
rnacentral:snRNA from 1 species